UACGUAGGUUGCAAGCGUUAAUCGGAAUUACUGGGCGUAAAGCGUGCGUAGGCGGUUAUGUAAGUCAGGUGUGAAAUCCCCGGGCUUAACCCGGGAACUGCAUUUGUGACUGCAUAGCUAGAGUACGGUAGAGGGGGAUGGAAUUUCGCGUGUAGCAGUGAAAUGCGUAGAUAUGCGGAGGAACACCGAUGGCGAAGGCAAUCCCCUGGACCUGUACUGACGCUCAUACACGAAAGCGUGGGGAGCAAACAGG
rnacentral:rRNA from 1 species